CUGCACAGCGCCGGGGUGGGGCGCACCGGCGUCUUCGUCACCCUCAGCAUCGUCCUGGAGCGCAUGCGCUACGAGGGGGCGGUCGACAUGUUCCAGACGGUGAAGACCCUGCGCACGCAGCGGCCCGCCAUGGUGCAGACAGAGGACCAGUACCAGCUGUGCUACAGAGCCGCGCUGGAGUAUCUCGGCAGCUUUGACCACUAUGCAACGUAACUAGCACUUUGCCGGCCGCCGCGGGAGCGCCCGGGGGCAGAGAGGGUCUUGAGCCACGCCGCCAUUCCCAGGCCCGUAGCGACGCUCUCGGCCGACCAGGCCUGACCACUGCUUUCCGGAGCGUCGUCCCUGAGCACGGGCGUCUCGUGUCCUGCCGCUUUCUGCCCCUCGCGCGGCUGCGCUGCUCAGCCAGGCUUGGGGGCUGCAACAGGAUCUUUUUUUAUCUGUACAAUAGUCCCUGGUGUUUUUAUAACCCUCCUCUGUUUGCUGACCUUCCCGUCUGGCUGGGGCUGGGGCCGUCAGGCCUUCGGAGGCCUCCUCUCCGUUUGUCCUCCUCUCGUGCUCCAAUCCGCCCCUGCCUUGGGUGCUGCCCAUUUUAGUGCUCACGGUCCCAGACCCUCUCCGUUCCCCACAGCUGCUUUGAGCCCUCUGUAGCCUAUGAAAGUUCCCGCCGUGGGGCUAAGCUACUGAUUAUCUUUUAGCUGGGUUCUCCUGAUUCCCUGGGCAGGGAUGGGGCUUGGGGCCACGGGAGAGAUGAUCUCAAAGUGCGUUUAGACCAAUUCAGUGCCCAUGAGAUCCCAACACGACAUGACUGGGCCUCGCCUCCUGGGCCCGGACGCCCAAGCCCCGGCCUGUGCCCCACGGGGCGGAGCAGCCAGCGGCAGGCCUGGGAGCAGAAGCAGACAGCGCAGCACGCCCGCUGUGUGCGUGCUGUGGCCUUGUGCAGGCAUCUCGCCCGUGACUGCAUCCCCCGUUUCCAAAGGCAGGAGCACAAUUGGGGGCAGCUCCCGCGGGGGGGGCUAGCUAUUUUGGGGGAAUGGGGCACUUCAGGGAAGGGGCAGCAGGGCGGGGCCGCGUCCCGGAGGUUGGGUGUAGCUAUCAUUUCUGCUCUUCUAAAGUCAUUCGAAUCUUGUACUUUCUGCUACUUCAGGACAUUCGAACGCGCUCGCGAGCAAGUGUCUGAGUGAACCGGAGGGCGCUGUCUCCCACUCCUUGUUCUCACGCGCCCACGGCCUCACCUGGCGGUGGUGGAAGGGGAGCUAACGGUGCAGCCGGUUCCAAGUGCGGCGCUGCCGCAAGCCAGGGUGGGCUCUGGGAAGACACGCUCAUUUUUCCCGUGUGAGUGCGUAGUGCCGUAGGGGUCGCUGGUGUACACAGUCUGUUUUCUAUUUGUUAAUAAAACAAUCGACAGCAUCAUUGCAUACUUCUUGAUGUUAAUAAAUUUGAAUAAUCGGGUUUCAUA